rnacentral:rRNA from 1 species
UACGUAGGGGGCAAGCGUUGUCCGGAUUUAUUGGGCGUAAAGAGCGUGUAGGCGGUUUUACAGGUCCGCUGUGAAAACUGGAGGCUUAACCUCCAGACGUCGGUGGAAACCGUAUAACUAGAGUCCGGAAGAGGAGAGUGGAAUUCCUGGUGUAGCGGUGAAAUGCGCAGAUAUCAGGAAGAACACCCGUGGCGAAGGCGGCUCUCUGGGACGGUACUGACACUGAGACGCGAAAGCGUGGGGAGCGAACAGG